CAGAUUACCAACAGAUUUGUCAAUCAACAAACGCAACCAAAUACCAAAUCACGGCGCUGACGAUGGUCCUGUCAAUAAAGCCUCUCAAACAGACCCUGAUCCACAAAUAGACUUUUUGUCCUGCUUUUUUGCAUAUGUUCAGGAAAGGACGGGAACUUCUGUAGGCGAUUUAAAUCCAAAGAUAAAAGAUGAAUUGUUCUGCGACUUCAUUCGACAGCAAGAUCUUUCAGAGUCAUAUACAGGUUUUGGAUGUUAUUUUUUUCUAAAUGUGUCAGAUUCUCUUUUCAGUUGACUAUUAACACCUUGAUAAACGAAAAUUGUCUUUAUGUCAGUGUUAACACUAAAUGCAAAUGAAUAUUAUGAUUAGCAAGGAAUUAGGAUAA